rnacentral:lncRNA from 1 species
UUUUUUUCUUUUCUUAUUUUCUUCUUUAUUUUUGCAUAUUUUUUCUUUUUUUCUUUCUCCUCAACCACUGUUUUUUCCUUAAUGUCAUCUUUGUCCCCCUCACUCAACUUUUCUUUUUUUUCUUCCUCUAUCUUUUCCUCCUCUAUCUUCUCUUCCUUUCUCUCCAUUUUCCCCAAUUUUUUUCUCCUCUAUCUUUUCCUCAUCAACAACCUUAUCAAUUUGUGUCUCCAAAUUCCUAAAGGUAACUGCAUAGCUCUUGGAAUCGUACUUCUCCAAAAAUUUAUCGAACUUCUCAUUAAGGCUUUUAACUUGUUCC